GUAAGUGCAGGAGGCCAGAAGAGGCCGUCAGACCCUCUGGAGCUGCAGUUACAGCAGGUGAGUUGCUGCUCUCAGAAACACGUGAAGAAACAUGGAACUCCUCAUGCUGACCAUGGGACAAACUGUGACGGCUGGCCGACUCAUCUGGAAAGGUCCCUGAGCCCUGAGGGGAAGGAUUUGAUGGAGACGUCCAAUUUAAGGCUGAGUGUUCCAAGGUCUCUCACUCUCUGUCAUGUCAGGCUGUGGAUCACUGUGUUUAUUUCCAUCUGUUGCAGGAGGGAGCUUCUCUGAUGAUGGCUGAACAAGGCACUGAUCUGAAGAAGUCUGCUGAGCAAGACCCAGAGCUGGUCAUUGUGCCUCCAGAUCUGGGGUCUCUGGGGACAACAGAGGACACACUGAUGGGAUGUGACAAAGAGGACUCAGAAUUCUAUUACUGAGCUCUGCAGAUGGCUGAGAACGCAGAUCCGAGAAGCCAUUGGGAUGGGGGAUGCUGAAGAAAGUGCUGGUUCUCUGCUUGUCUCUGCCAUGGCUCUGGCAAUAUCUUAAUUAAGUGUAGACUCAAGAUGAAAUAUGUGACCAGAUUCCAAAGUAGAAGACCUAUUUACAGAGGGAGACUUCUCAACACUCAAGAUUCCAUCUCUGAGCUUUUGUACUGUAGCAACAGGAUGCUAACUUGAACAUACCAUAGGAUGAUCUUGGAUACAGUGUUCCUAUUCCUGUCUGUGCUUGAAAACUCAACAUGCAUGACAAAUAUGUUUUGUCUCUCAUUGAGUUUUACUUUACUUUUAAACCAUUUCUGUUGAGUUCUUAAAAGCUGAGACAUGCAUUCUUGCCAGGAGCACAAGCUCUGAUUGAAGAAAUACUAGAUAUGACCAUUUCACACCACUGAAUGGGCAAUCCAGCAUGUAGAGGGAAUGCACCAUGGUAGUUCAAUGAAGCUGAGGCCCGCUGAAAAAUCCCACCAAACUGUGGUUGUAGACCAGCACAGGCCUUUAAAAGCCGUCCUUCCUGGCAAACCUGCCAGUCCUAGGCCUGACAUGAGGGAUAAGAUGGAAUUGACCAAUUCUCUUCCUCAAUUUCUAGGGAGGAUGCUCCUGAUAGGACGAGGAAGGAUAGGGAAGAACAGUAGAGGUGUGUGUGGGAUUCCUCUGGUUGGAGAUAUGGUGUGCAUCACAGUGUAGAAGAGUUUUAGUCCUGUGUGCCAGUCUCUGAGGAGGACUGCUGGCCUGGUCCUCUGGGUUAGAUUUCCCACUAUUCCUCAUGAGGUUUGUACCUCAUGAGAUGUGUGCUUGUAGCUGGUGAACUCUCUUGCAGGAGCAGUGGGAGCCAGGGAUGAAAUACUUCUAUGUAGACAAUUCUAGCCUCAAGACUAGGGCUCAAAGGAUGAGUGAGACCAGAAGCAACUAAACCCUAGCCAAUGCAUGAAUAAGAUCAUUCCAGUGUGUGGAGUCACACUGUAGCCUCCAAGGGUCAGUGUCUGUGUUGCAGUGUCUCAGUGUGACUGUUCCAGGAAGCAGUGCCAUUCUAUGUGUCUGGGCACCAUGCAUGGGAAGUGCAAGAGAAUGAACAUUCCAAGAUGAAGCCCUCAAUGGAUGGCUUCCUUAAUUUUAUUUGUUGGCAGUACUGAAUAUUGACAUCUUGAUUCUUAGGAAGUGCUUUAACCACUGAACAACACUCCCAAGCCCUCACUAGUGGAUUCCAGGCAGGGGCUCUACCACUGAAACAUGGCUCAAGCCUGCCACUGGUGGGUUCUAGCUAAACACUCUGCUAUUAAGCCACCUGUCCAUCCCUCCUUGUAUCUCUUAAUUGAGGAUCUUUCUAAGUUACCCAAGAUGUCCUGGAACUCACUCUGUAGCCUAGGCAGGUCUUAAACUUGUGAUCCUCCUUCUGUACUCUCCUUGGUUAGUCAAAGUUCUCUAAAGAAACACACACACACACACACACACACACACACACACACACACACACACACACACACACUGAUAGUUUUUCAAUCUACAAGGCUGGAUGUCUCAGCAGUCCCAAUCUGGUGCUGGAAUCCUGAAGAGUCACAGAUCUUCAGUCUGUGUUGGAACUCCAAAGAAAUUGCUUCUAAUAUUGGUGAUGGGAUGCCUCAGCCACAGGACAGAUGAACUUGCAGGCGAGGGUGACGACAAGCAGCCGAACAGCAAAGUUUCCCUUUUCCAUGUCCUUUUGUGGGCUGCAACUAGAAGGUGCUGCCCACAUUUAGGGUGAGUCUUCCUGCUUCAAAUAAUCUACUCAACAAAAUCCCUCACUGGAGUGCCAGCAGGGAUUUUGGUGGUUUUCAGAUAUAGUCAAGUUGACAACCAAGAGUUGUCAUCACAAAUCUACCCCUUGCCAAGUUGAUACAUGAUCAUAUCUCCUAUUUCACAUUUAAUUUCCACAUUAAAAAAUUAACCAGGGCACUAUUCUGCCUAACAUGAAAUAACUAUCCCACCUACAACCAUAAACACAUUAUAUACGUGCAUGCGUGUGUGUGUGUGUGUGUGUGUGUGUGUGUGUGUGUGCAUGCACACGCGCGUGCACAUGUGUGUAUGUGUAUUAGAAUAGGCAGCAAAAUCCCUUGAGGAAUGAUUAGUCUUUUAGUGUCUCAUAACUUAAAUGUGAUAAUACAGACUUACAACACUUAACCACUGAUAUUGCCUCAAUCAAUGUUACAUUAUGUAACAGAGAGGAAGAAAUUGCAAACAACUUAAUAUGUGUAUAUAUUCACAAACAUUUUUAAAGAAAGGACAGAACACUCAUGUCAAUUACAAUCUUCAUCCCUGCAGCUUGUCACAUGACCUUAGCUGGUAAUAUAACUACCCUCCUCUACUAUCCAUUCUGUGCUUCCUUUGCCCUCAGCCAGCACUUUAGUGCUUUCCCUGGGUGGCCUAUACCCUCAUCCCUGAAUGGUUCAGAUUCUUUGUCAUCCUGCCUGGAUUGAGUUAUUGUAGUUUCCCAUUGGCUCCCAUCAUUUCCAGAAUGGGAGACUUUGAAAUACACUUAGUGACAAACCAGUCUGUGGAAUUACAACUAAGUAAAGGCCCCUUCCACCUGAUUUCAGGCUCAAACUAUCCAAAAGCUUAGGAGAAUAAAGCAAGGAAACAUAAAAUGCUAAGUGAAGUCAACCUCUCAGCCAGAUGCUAACAAGGAUGGCAAGGUAACAAACACUUCAGCAGAGAUGCAGAAUUAGGGAGGAGAGAGGAGAAGGGAGGCAGUAAGGACCUUUCACACCAGCAGUGAAACUGAGGAGCAGCACAUUUUGAAUGCUACCAUGCCCUGCUAUCCUGGACUCUCCCACAAGUAUGGGCUCAUGGGCUAGCUUUGAAGAACUGGUCACCAUCACACUGUAUUUUUAAGUCUUCCAUUCUAAAAAAGAUGGAAGUCAAGUUCUCCUGGUUUACUUUCUGUUGCUGUGACCAAAAGCUUUCUGGGGAGAAAAAGGUGUAUUUCCUUUUACACUUCUAGAUCACAGUUUAUCAUCAAGGGAAGUCAGAACAGGGACCUGGAACAGAGGUCAAGGGAGAAUGCUGCUUACUGUUGUCUCAUUCAUUAGCUUGUGAUCAGUCAGCUUUCUUAUACACUCCAGGACCACCUGCCUAGGGAUGGUGGCACCCACAGUGGACUUGGCCCACUCAAAUCAAUCAUCAAUCAAAUCAAUGACACAAUGUCUCUCAGACAUAGCUAAAGGUCCAUGUGACAGAGGCUGUGCUAGUUUAAAUGUAUGGCCCCCAUAAUCUCAGGGAGUGGCAUUAUUAGGAGGUGUAGCUUUGUUAGAAUGGUAAUGACCUUGUUGAAGGAAGUGUGCCACUGUGGGGGCAGGCUAUGAGGUUUC